rnacentral:rRNA from 1 species
UACGGAGGAUCCAAGCGUUAUCCGGAUUUAUUGGGUUUAAAGGGUGCGUAGGUGGUUUUUUAAGUCAGGGGUGAAAGACGGCAGCUUAACUGUCGCAGUGCCUUUGAUACUGAAGAACUUGAAUCCACUAGAGUAGGCGGAAUGUGACAAGUAGCGGUGAAAUGCAUAGAUAUGUCACAGAACACCAAUUGCGAAGGCAGCUUACUAUGGUGGUAUUGACACUGAGGCACGAAAGCGUGGGGAUCAAACAGG